rnacentral:rRNA from 1 species
GACGAACGCUGGCGGCGUGCUUAACACAUGCAAGUGGAGCGACGAACCGGGGCUUGCCCCGGGGCAGAGCCGCGAACGGGUGAGUAACACGUGGGUAACCCACCCCGAUGACCGGGACAACCCGAGGAAACUCGGGCUAAUACCGGAUGUGCUCCUUGAUCUCAAGAACAAGGCGCAAAGAUAGCUUCGGCCUUCGCAUCGGGACGGGCCCGCGGCCCAUUAGCUUGUUGGUGGGGUAACGGCCUACCAAGGCGACGAUGGGUAGCUGGUCUGAGAGGACGAUCAGCCACACUGGGACUGAGACACGGCCCAGACUCCUACGGGAGGCAGCAGUGGGGAAUCUUGGACAAUGGGCGCAAGCCUGAUCCAGCGAUGCCGCGUGUGUGAAGAAGGCCUGCGGGUUGUAAAGCACUUUCAGUA